rnacentral:rRNA from 1 species
GACGAACGCUGGCGGCGUGCCUAAUACAUGCAAGUCGAGCGGACGGAUGGGAGCUUGCUCCCAGACCGUCAGCGGCGGACGGGUGAGUAACACGUGGGCAACCUGCCUGUAAGACUGGGAUAACUCCGGGAAACCGGGGCUAAUACCGGAUAACUCUUUCCCUCACAUGAGGGAAAGCUGAAAGAUGGCAUCUCGCUAUCACUUACAGAUGGGCCCGCGGCGCAUUAGCUAGUUGGUGAGGUAACGGCUCACCAAGGCGACGAUGCGUAGCCGACCUGAGGGGGUGAUCGGCCACACUGGGACUGAGACACGGCCCAGACUCCUACGGGAGGCAGCAGUAGGGAAUCUUCCGCAAUGGACGAAAGUCUGACGGAGCAACGCCGCGUGAGUGAUGAAGGUUUUCGGAUCGUAAAACUCUGUUGUCAGGGAAGAACAAGUACCGGAGGAACUGCCGGUACCUUGACGGUACCUGACCAGAAAGCCACGGCUAACUACGUG